UACGGAGGGUGCGGGCGUUGUCCGGAAUCACUGGGCGUAAAGGGAGCGUAGGCGGCGCGGUAAGUCAGAUGUGAAAUCCCGGGGCUCAACCCCGGAACUGCAUCCGAUACUGCCGUGCUAGAGGAUUGGAGAGGUAGCUGGAAUUCUUGGUGUAGCAGUGAAAUGCGUGGAGAUCAAGAGGAACACUCGUGGCGAAAGCGAGCUACUGGACAAUAUCUGACGCUGAGGCUCGAAGGCCAGGGUAGCGAAAGGG
rnacentral:rRNA from 1 species